AUGUAGCUCAGUGAUAGAGUGCUUGCCUACCAUGUAUCAGGCCCUGGGUUCAAUCCCCAGCAU
rnacentral:tRNA from 1 species